AAAUCUCAAUAACUACUGUCCACUACUCUCAAAAGGUGAGCAUACAGAUGUCUACAUUAGUUGCGCAAUGUUUCAGCUGUGUAAACACAAUUUAUCAAGCAGGUAAUGUUCCAUGAAUGUUUUUUCAGAUUUCUGCAAUACGCUACAUGUGAAACUUCCUCCUUAUCCUAUAUUUGAUUCUCUAAGCCAUGAAAGUUUUUAUGAAGCAGCACAAAACCAAUAAAAAGGUAAAUUAAAUUCAUAUAUCUGCAAAACUUGAAUUGACAACUUUCUUAAAGCAGUCUUUCACCUGUAGAUACAAUUUCAGGUUUGUGCAUCAAAACCCAAAAUCUACUGUCCACUACUAUCAAAAGGUGAGUGUACAGAGGUCUACAUUAGUUACAAUUUAAUUUACAAUUUAUCAAGCAGUUAAUGUCCCAUGAAUAUAUUUUCAGAUUUCUACAAUAUACUACACUUCAAACUUCAUUCUCCAUUAUGAUUCUCUGCUCCAUGAACUGUUUUUAUGAAGCAGCACAAAACCAAUAAAAAGGUAAAUUGAAUUCCUAUCAUAUCAGCAAAGUUUGAACUGAUUUGUUCAAGCCCUUCACCUGUUAAUACAAUUUCAGGUUUGUGCAUCAAAACCCAAUAUCUACUGUCAACUACUAUCAAAAGGUGAGUGUACAUAUGUCUGUUAGUUGCACAGUGUUUUAGUUGUGUAAACACUAUUUAUUAAUCAGUAAAUGUUACAUGAAUGUAUCUUCAGAUUUCUGCAAUAUGCUACACUUCAAACUUCCUUAUCCAUAAUGAUUCUCCACUCCAUUAACUGUUUUUAUGAAGCAACACAAAACCAAUUAAAAAGGUAAAUUCCAUUGCAUGAUGUCUGCAAAUCUUGAAUUGACAUUUCUUCAAGCGCUGCUUCACCUAAUAGCAAUACAUUUUCAGGUUUGUGCAUCAAAACUCAAUAUCUACUGUCCACUACUCCCAAAAGAUUUCUGCAAUAUGCUGCACUUCAAACUUCCCUCUCCAUUAUAUGAUUCU
ensembl:lncRNA